rnacentral:rRNA from 1 species
UACGUAGGUGGCAAGCGUUGUCCGGAUUUACUGGGUGUAAAGAGCGCGCAGGCGGUCGAUUUAGUCGCGUGUGAAAGCCCCCGGCUCAACUGGGGAGGGUCACGCGAUACUGAUCGACUCGAAGGCAGGAGAGGGUAGUGGAAUUCCCGGUGUAGUGGUGAAAUGCGUAGAUAUCGGGAGGAACACCAGUGGCGAAGGCGACUACCUGGCCUGUUCUUGACGCUGAGGCGCGAAAGCUAGGGGAGCGAACAGG